AGCGAACGCUGGCGGCAGGCCUAACACAUGCAAGUCGAACGAACCCUUCGGGGUUAGUGGCGGACGGGUGAGUAAGACGUGGGAACGUGCCUUUAGGUUCGGAAUAACUCAGGGAGACUUGUGCUAAUACCGAAUGUGCCCUUCGGGGGAAAGAUUUAUCGCCUUUAGAGCGGCCCGCGUCUGAUUAGCUAGUUGGUGAGGUAAAGGCUCACCAAGGCGACGAUCAGUAGCUGGUCUGAGAGGAUGAUCAGCCACAUUGGGACUGAGACACGGCCCAAACUCCUACGGGAGGCAGCAGUGGGGAAUCUUGCGCAAUGGGCGAAAGCCUGACGCAGCCAUGCCGCGUGAAUGAUGAAGGUCUUAGGAUUGUAAAAUUCUUUCACCGGGGACGAUAAUGACGGUACCCGGAGAAGAAGCCCCGGCUAACUUCGUGCCAGCCGCCGCAGUAACAC
rnacentral:rRNA from 1 species